rnacentral:rRNA from 1 species
UACGUAGGGUGCAAGCGUUAAUCGGAAUUACUGGGCGUAAAGCGUGCGCAGGCGGUUUUGUAAGACUGUCGUGAAAUCCCCGGGCUUAACCUGGGAAUGGCGAUGGUGACUGCAAGGCUAGAGUUUGGCAGAGGGGGGUAGAAUUCCACGUGUAGCAGUGAAAUGCGUAGAGAUGUGGAGGAACACCGAUGGCGAAGGCGGCAUCCUGGACUGGUCCUGACACUCAGGAGCGAAAGCGUGGGGAGCGAUCCGG